AACAAGGCGUACCUGCGGACCUGCGGAAGGAUCAUUACCGAGUUUACAAACUCCCAACCCUAUGUGAACCUUACCAAUCGUUGCUUCGGCGGGCUUAGCCCCCGCGCCCUCGCCGGCGCCGGGAGAAAGGCGCCCGCCGGGGACCCCAAACCCAAUGUUUUUCAUGCAGUAUUUCUGAGUGGCAAACGCAAAAAUAAAUCAAAACUUUUAACAACGGAUCU
rnacentral:misc_RNA from 1 species